AACCUCUCUGGUAGCCAAGUGGUUAGAGCAUCCGCCUCAAACGCGGGAGGUCGUGGGUUAGAUCCGCAGCCAGGUCA